rnacentral:rRNA from 1 species
AUUGAACGCUGGCGGCAGGCCUAACACAUGCAAGUCGAACGAGUGGCGUACGGGUGAGUAAUGUCUGGGAAACUGCGCGAUGGAGGGGGAUAACUACUGGACACGGUAGCUACUACCGCAUACCAUCGGAUGUGCCCAGAUGGGAGUAGCUAGUGGUUGGGGUAACGGCGUACCUAGGCGACGAUCCCUAGCUGGUCUGAGAGGAUGACCAGCAACACUGGAACUUAGACACGGGCCAGACUCCUACGGGAGGCAGCAGUGGGGAAUAUUGCACAAUGGGCGCAAGCCUGAUGCAGCCAUGCCGCGUGUAUGAAGAAGGCCUUCGGGUUGUAAAGUACUUUCAGCGAGGAGGCGUUACUCGCAGAAGAAGCACCGGCUAACUCCGUGCCAGCCGCCGCGGUAAUAC